rnacentral:rRNA from 1 species
UACGUAGGUGGCAAGCGUUGUCCGGAAUUAUUGGGCGUAAAGAGCUCGUAGGCGGUCUGUCGCGUCUGCUGUGAAAACUCGGGGCUUAACCCCGGGCCUGCAGUGGGUACGGGCAGACUAGAGUGCGGUAGGGGAGACUGGAAUUCCUGGUGUAGCGGUGAAAUGCGCAGAUAUCAGGAGGAACACCGGUGGCGAAGGCGGGUCUCUGGGCCGUAACUGACGCUGAGGAGCGAAAGCGUGGGGAGCGAACAGG